CGCCCCGGCGCGGAGCCGCCGCGUCCGCUUCUCCCGCCGCCUCCGCCGCCGUUACCGGAGCCGGUGGGCAGAACGCGGAACGCCAGACGGGCAGGGGGGCGCCGCCCGCCUCCGGGGCGAGGAGAGGGGCGGAAGCGGCGCGGAGAGACGGGGGGCCAUUUAUGGUGAAUUUUGGAGCCCCAUUGUGAAACAUCAGGGGAGAGGCCGAGGGGUCAGAUAUUGGAGGACGCUAUUUAAAAACCAGAGAUCAUCUUCUGCUGAAGGAGGAGGUUUGCUCAAGACUGU